rnacentral:rRNA from 1 species
UACGCCUCUAUUACGUGAAAGAACUUGCUUCUCGAGCGGAAAGAGGUCGAAGAUACCAGAUGGCUGCGACUGUUUACUAAAAACAUAGCACUCUGCAAACACUAAUGUGGAAGUAUAGGGUGUGACGCCUGCCCGGUGCCGGAAGGUUAAUUGAUCAGGUUAGUCCUCGGACGAAGCUUGUGAUCGAAGCCCCGGUGAACGGCGGCCGUAACUAUAACGGUCCUAAGGUAGCGAAAUUCCUUGUCGGGUAAGUUCCGACCUGCACGAAUGGCGUAACGAUGGCCAUACUGUCUCGACCCAGGACUCAGUGAAAUUGAAUUUGCGGUGAAGAUGCCGUAUACGCGCGGCAAGACGGAAAGACCCCGUGCACCUUUACUAUAGCUUCACACUGGACUUUGAAUUUAUAUGUGUAGGAUAGGUGGGAGACUUUGAAGCAUAGGCGUCAGCUUAUGUGGAGUCGUCCUUGAAAUACCACCCUUAUACAUUUGAGGUUCUAACUUAGACCCGUUAUCCGGGUUGAGGACAGUGUGUGGUGGGUAGUUUGACUGGGGCGGUCUCCUCCCAAAGAGUAACGGAGGAGUACGAAGGUAUCCUCAGCAUGGUCAGACAUCAUGCAAUGAGUGCAAUGGCAAAAGGAUGCUUAACUGCGAGACUGACAAGUCGAGCAGGUACGAAAGUAGGUCAUAGUGAUCCGGUGGUUCUGUAUGGAAGGGCCAUCGCUCAACGGAUAAAAGGUACGCCGGGGAUAACAGGCUUAUACCCCCCAAGAGUUCACAUCGACGGGGGUGUUUGGCACCUCGAUGUCGGCUCAUCACAUCCUGGGGCUGGAGCAGGUCCCAAGGGUAUGGCUGUUCGCCAUUUAAAGUGGUACGCGAGCUGGGUUUAGAACGUCGUGAGACAGUUCGGUCCCUAUCUGCCGUGCGCGUUGGAUAUUUGAGAGGAGUUGCUCCUAGUACGAGAGGACCGGAGUGAACGAACCUCUGGUGUUCGGGUUGUCACGCCAGUGGCAUUGCCCGGUAGCUAUGUUCGGAAAGGAUAACCGCUGAAAGCAACUAAGUGGGAAGCCUACCUCAAGAUGAGAUAUCCCUGAACCUUCGGGUUCCUGAAGAGCCGUUCAAGACUAGGACGUUGAUAGGCAGGGUGUGUAAGUGCUGUAAGGCAUUGAGCUAACCUGUACUAAUUGCUCGUGAGGCUUAACUUA